rnacentral:lncRNA from 1 species
AUUAGGUGGGAUGUGAUCGCACAGGUCACAUGCCUGCGAACGACUCCUGUUAAUCAACACAUAGUCACAUGCAUAACGCUAACAAUAAUCAUACCCUGAGAAUUUCACCCAAACAUUGAAAAAAAUAAAAUCAUAUGUAUACACCUGUUCACCAAUGAUAUCAACCAUUACUAUAAGAAAACCAUUUAUACAUAUCCUAAGCAGAAUAUAAACAAACUCUCUGUGAUAACGUAAAUAUGUAC